rnacentral:rRNA from 1 species
CCACGAGACUUUGGUCUUUUGGAUGAAAGGUGACCUCUUCAUGAAAGUUGCCGUUUGGGGAGGGGCCCGCGUACCAUUAGCUUGUUGGUGGGGUAAUGGCCUACCAAGGCUACGAUGGUUAGCUGGUCUGAGAGGAUGAUCAGCCACACUGGAACUGAAACACGGUCCAGACUCCUACGGGAGGCAGCUGUGAGGAAUUUUGCGCAAUGGGGGAAACCCUGACGCAGCAACGCCGCGUGAGUGAUGAAGACCCUCGGGUCGUAAAGCUCUGUCAAGUGGGAAAAAAUACUUCCGGUUAAUACCCGGAAGGAUUGAUGGUACCGCUGGAGGAAGCACCGGCUAACUCCGUGCCAGCAGCCCGCGGUAAUACGGAGGGUGCAAGCGUUGUUCGGAAUUACUGGGCGUAAAGGGCGUGUAGGCGGUUUGGCAAGUCAGAUGUGAAAGCCCUGGGCUCAACCCAGGAAGUGCAUUUGAAACUACCAUCCCAGAGUAUGGGAGAG